GAUGAACGCUAGCGGCAGGCCUAAUACAUGCAAGUCGAACGGAUAUAUGUUUUUCGGAAUAUAUAUUAGUGGCGCACGGGUGAGUAACACGUACAUAACUUGCCCUCAAGCGGGGGAUAGCCUUGGGAAACUGAGAGUAAUACCCCAUAGAAUUAUUGGACGGCAUCGUUUGAUAAUUAAAACUACGGUGCUUGGGGAUAGAUGUGCGUCUGAUUAGCUAGUUGGUGAGGUAACUGCUCACCAAGGCGACGAUCAGUAGGGGGCGUGAGAGCGUGGCCCCCCACACGGGUACUGAGACACGGACCCGACUCCUACGGGAGGCAGCAGUAAGGAAUAUUGGUCAAUGGAGGGAACUCUGAACCAGCCAUGCCGCGUGAAGGAUGACGGCCCUCUGGGUUGUAAACCUCUUUUGGAUGGGGCGAAAAAACGGGAUUUAUCCUGGACUGACGGUACCAUCAGAAUAAGCACCGGCUAACUCCGUG
rnacentral:rRNA from 1 species